rnacentral:rRNA from 1 species
UACAGAGGGUGCAAGCGUUAAUCGGAUUUACUGGGCGUAAAGCGUGCGUAGGCGGUUCAUUAAGUCGGUUGUGAAAUCCCUGGGCUUAACCUGGGAACUGCAGUCGAUACUGGUGAACUAGAAUGCGGUAGAGGGUGGCGGAACUCCGGGUGUAGCGGUGAAAUGCGUAGAUAUCCGGAAGAACACCGAUGGCGCAAGGCAACCACCCUGGGCCUGCAUUGACGCUGAGGUACGAAAGCGUGGGGAGCAAACAGG